AGGUGAUUUUCCUUGUGAGACUAUCAAUGAGUCGUCUCCCCUGAGAUUAUGUUCACAGCUGUGUAGAUGUAUUAAAGGGGGGUUUCCUGCCCCCCAGAAAUUCCUGAUGCUAGUGUUGCAGUGCUCUGUGAAUCACAAAAUAAGCAUGGCCAGAUGUUGGGUAUGUUUAUUCCAACCUGGCUGUCUAUAGCAGCAACCCAGAAAGCAACUGGGGUGGUCUUUGGCCUACAAGGAGUCAAAGUUUCUUCUGGAUUUAGGGAAGUCUGCAAAAAGCAACCUGUUUUCUGCUGGAAUUCUAACACAACCCAGAAGUUCACCUUGAAGUUUACAUGUCAUUAUGACCAACUACCUGCAAGCCCACCCUGCUGUGAAGUGGGCUGGUAGAAAAGUGCAGAGUGAAAGAAAAGGCACUGAAUCCUCCUCUGACAUACCAGCUUCUUCUCCUGGAACUGUAGCUCGUUCUGUCGGGCACACUUGCCAAGAGCCAGUCCACAUCUCGCAUAUUGAUGUGCUGUUGAAAUGACAGCUCCAGCUUUCACACGCUGGUGCACUGUAGUCGCUGGGGAGUUUCCCUGUUCUUGUUCCACUAUUAGGUUUCAAACCUCCCUGCUGGGUAGCUGUCCUCAAGUCACAUCAGGAGGACAGAGUGAGAAAACUCAUGGCUGCAACAUGAAAAUGAUGGGCUGAAGCCUGGAUGAGUGCUGCAAAUGGAGCAAGGAGCUGGCAAUUCAUGUGUUGCAGCCCAGCAUGGUCCCAUCUGAGUCUGAUUAAUAAGAAUCCUGGCUUUCAACUCCAAUGUGGCCUUGGGUAACUUCUUAGAUUAAUAUAAAAGCAAAAAAAAAAAAAAAAAAGACUUGAAAUAUGUAUGGAUGUCAUGUCAGGAUAAUUCAGGUAUCUGCAUAUGGACCUCAACUGAACUUCGAUGUAAGUUCAUUAUUUAUCAAAGAAGCCUAGGAAAGCUUCACAGUCAAGAUAGGAUGACAGUGUCAUUCUUAAGUAGUCACCUUUGAAGCCUUGGAAGCCCACCCUCAGUAACAAAAAAGUGAAUGCCCUGCUAGCUGCAAGUAUUAUGUAAACCACUUUAUCUUAACUAUUUUUGCUAGGAAAGCUCUUUAUUCUGCUAGGUAAAAGAGUAGGCAUGUUGUCACAGCACAGCUAAAUCCCACAGCUUAUUACCAUGAAAUAUAUGAGCUUAGAGGAUAUGAAAGUGUUCCAUCCAAGAGGAUAUGAAAGUAGUCUGCCUGGAGAGAGUUCAAGGCCUUUUGUAUAAAGAAAACAGUUCCAGGCUUUAAAGCUGUAACGUGUCAGGAUUUCAAAAAAGGCAGUUC